CCUGUCAUCAGGGCGAGAUACAUAACAAAUACGUUGAUGGUCUAUGUCUGGUAGCAUAAAAAAGACCCCAUAUUCAAGAUUGGCGAAAGGUGGAGGGACUAUAUGCCGUUUAUAACUUGAUAAAAUCUUAGAUACAUAUGUGUACAAAAAGAAUAUUUAAACCAAGUUGGGUGAAGUUCCUGGCAAUAAAGUGGUGCGAAACGAGAGAGAUACUGAAAUUCUUCCGAUAUAGGGGACCCUAAGAUAAAGAGCCCUUCAGUUACAUCCAAAUUUAACUAGAGAAACAUACCGAAAUGCGGCACUCCAAGAAAAACUAUUGCGCGUGUGCUCUUUGCAAAUCGCGCAUCGCCCAAAACGCUAGAAUUUGUGUCACUCUUUGCAAUAAUGUUACUUUCUUCAAGCCGCAUUUUAACAACUUCCGCAAGUUGGGCUAAACUUCUAUCAGUGUUUGUCAUCAUAUUAGUUUUUGAACUUUGUUGAAAAUUUGCUUCAAAAAUUCUUCGUAAAAAAAAAACUUUUUCUAGAGUUUCUUUAAUCGCGGAGGUACUUAUUGUUUUUAAAAAGAGAUUAUAAGGUAUGAGAUUAGGCAUUUGAAAAUUCGGCGGUACAAAACUCUUUAGGCUAUUAAGUUGUUGUGAAUUUUUUCUACGAAUAAAACUUUUAUGUUUAAAUAAAGGUAUAUCAAGAUGUACAGAAAUGAUUCGAGAACCCUUGGAAAGACUUUCUCGCAAAAAAAGUUGCGGCCAAUGAAAAUACCAAGUCUCCUCUGUUCCGGGCUCAUAUUCUCGAACAAAAUCAAUGUUGAUUAUAUCUUUUGCUGUUUCCGAAGAGGAAACAUUUUCCUUUUGAGCCGAGUUUGUUAAAUUGUACGACCAUGGCUCAUAAUGAAGCCAGCGCCAAGUUUUAAAACCGGAACCCCUCAAUCCAUGAAUGAGGACGACAUCUACAGGAGAAAUUUAAAGGAUCCACGCGCUCAUCUCUAUCCUUAAUAUACAGAGGAAUAAUUCCCUUAUUAUACCGUGGAGUGGAACCGUUCAAGGAUAACGCGAAUAAUUGUUCUAUAUUGAGUUGUAACCUAGAAAAAUAUCGUAAUUUUUUAAAAAAACUUCCCGUUAGAUGUAUCAUUAUAUAUAACUACUUUUUUCACUCUAUAAACAUUCAAUUUGUAAAGAUGCGAAACCAAAUAAUCUAUGCU